AUGAACGCUGGGCGGCGUGCUUACACAUGCAAGUCGAGCGAGGCAGCGUAGCAAUACGCCAGUCGAGCGGCGAACGGGUGAGUAACGCGUGGAUGACCUACCUUGAGGUGGGGGAUAACUCGGGGAACUCGAGCUAAUACCGCAUACGAUCGAGAGAUCAAAGGGGCGCAAGUCCCGCCAUGAGAGGGGUCCGCGUACGAUUAGCUAGUUGGUAGGGUAAUGGCCUACCAAGGCGACGAUCGUUAGCCGGCCUGAGAGGGUGAUCGGCACACUGGAACUGAGACACGGUCCAGACUCCUACGGGAGGCAGCAGAGGGGAAUUUUGUGCAAUGGAGGGAAACCCUGACGCAGCAACGCCGCGUGGAGGAUGAAGUCCCUUGGGACGUAAACUCCUUUCGACCCGGACGAUACUGACGGUACGGGUGGAAGAAGCACCGGCUAACUCUGUGCCAGCAGCCGCGGUAAUACAGAGGGUGCGAGCGUUGUUCGGAAUUAUUGGGCCGUAAAGGGCGCGUAGGCGGUGCGGUAAGUCACCUGUGAAAUCUCCUGGCUCAACUGGGAGCUUGCAGGCGACACUGCCGUGCUGGAGUGUGGGAGAGGUGCGUGGAAUUCCCGGUGUAGCGGUGAAUGAAAUGCGUAGUAGAUAUCGGGAGGAACACCUGUGGGCGAAGGCGGCGCACUGGACCACAACUGACGCUGAGGCGCGAAAGCUAGGGGAGCAAACAGGAUUAGAUACCCUGGUAAGUCCUAGCCCUAAACUAUGGAUGCUUGCUGUGAUGGGUACCCAAUCCCAUCGUGGCGCAGCUAACGCGAUAAGCAUCCCGCCUGGGAGUACGGUCGCAAGGCUGGAAACUCAAAGGAAUUGACGGGGGGCCCCGCACAAGCGGUGGAGCAUGUGGUUCAUCGGACGCAACGCGAAGAAACCUUACCUGGGCUCGAAAAUGGAGUGGAAUCCGGUGGAAACAUCGGCGCCCGCAAGGAGCUCUAUAGGUGCUGCAUGGCUGUCGUCAGCUCGUGUCGUGAGAUGUGGGUUAAGUCCCGCAACGAGCGCAACCUUAUCGUUAGUUGCCAUCGGGUCAAGCCGGGCACUCUAGCGAAACCGCCUCGGAUAACGGGGAGGAAGGUGGGGGAUGACGUCAAGUCCUCAUGGCCUUUAUGUCCAGGGCUACACACGUGCUACAAUGCACGGUACAAACCGUCGCAAACCCGCGAGGGGGAGCUAACCGGAAAAAGCCGUGCUCAGUUCGGAUGGAGUCUGCAACCCGACUCCAUGAAGCUUGGAAUCGCUAGUAAUCGCAGAUCAGAACGCUGCGGUGAAUACGUUCCCGGGCCUUGUACACACCGCCCGUCACAUCACGAAAGUGGACCAUACUAGAGCAGGUGGGCCAACCGCAAGGGGGCAGCCUUCCAAGGUAGUAGUUCAUGAUUGGGUGA
rnacentral:rRNA from 1 species